AUCACUUUCAGUCACUCACGUCCAGAGUGCGGCCCGCUGAUAGCCUGUGGCCUGCAAAUAUGUGGACUCUGCAACAUGUUAACUGGUAUCGGAUCCUCUGGUGGGCGGAUGGGGCGGAAUCAAUUAAUCUGGAGAAGAUCGCAGGACAGCAGAUAACACGCAGCUGAGCGUGUGCAGUUUGGAUAAAGUGACAGACAGUGAACUUAGUGGAGAGAGACAAUAUAUAGCUCCAGGCAGCAAAACUGUAUGGUGGGACUGUGACAGCUACGCCGGUUCGGCUGCAGCAUGUGACGGCUGCAAGGAGAAGACAAACACCUCGCAACUGGAGGCGCAGUAGAAAGAAUUAGCAGCUGCUAAUCAGAUCAGCGGGAGGCAGCUGUUCCCUCAUCAUCUCGAACAUCUGUUUAUCUUCUCAAACAAUUCAGGAAUUCACAAUAACUCAGAGGGAGCAUCUCUACAGAGAGGCACUUGACAAAUUUUUACAUGUUGCAUUUGCAAAAUAAAUAAAUAAAAGGCAAUCAA